GUGUGUUCCUGGGAGCUUGCAGACAAGGAGCAAAUUCGAGCAGCUUGCAAACCAGGACCCGGGGCUCUGGGCCUUUGUCUUCCUCGCUGCUUGCUCCUCAUUUCCACGUGCAGUAAAUUCCCUCUUCUUGUUCCUAAAAUGGGAUGCCUGCCAGGAGGAAGAACUACAGAAAUGAUGCAAUAUGGAGUACUUGUGUGGACUGAGCUGCUCAGAACAGUAUUAUUCUCUUAGUAUUUCAGACACACCUAAGGAAAAACUGCAGGCUUUCUCUACCCACACUGGGCCCCACCACUGACAGUGCCCACAGGUCCUCCUGGCAGCACCCAGGGCUGUGACUGUCAACCUGCACACUACAGGAAGCACUCGUCACAAGGGGGGACACCACGCAGACAAGAACUGAACACGUAGACCAAACACACCAGAACAGAAGAAAACACGCAACAGACACGAAUCCAAUCCCACAAGUUCACCCGGGCCUGCAACACUUAAGGGGCACCGCAGAGCCAGGCUGGUCGGCAGGAAUGCCACCUGAUUUCCACACCACCCUGACUACUACUUCUACAGCUGGAACCACCCGUGGGGCCACCAAGGAGGAGGAGCACGCAGCACUGAAAGCUUACGCUUACAACUGGUCACGUGGGCAGAGCAAACAUCGGCUAGCUUGCCUUCGAUUAAAAAACAAAACAAAACAAACCCCGAACACACAAUGUUGCAAAUAACCUUUCAGCAGCACCUCUGACGACCAGUACUGCAAGAGCUGAACCGUUGACAAGAUUCAAACCCCAUUUUCCCUCCCUCGGAAAGGUGGGUGACAUUUCCCGGGGGACGGGGGAUGCCCUUGUGACGGGUAUCCCCCUUCCACUCACUUCCUUUCUCCUCCACCAACCGGCCUCCAGCCUUAGAGAGGCCAGCGAGGAGAAAUGACAGACAGUAAGGCAAUCUUACAAUGUCAGAAAAAAAAUGUAUUUGGCUUUUUUUUCUUUUUUAAAAUAAGUGCAUACAAAUACGGCUAGAAGCAUUUGUUUGCCAAGUGCUCUUUAAGAACAAACAAAAGAAAAACCAAAAAAACAAAACAAAACAAAAAAAAAACAAAAGCAGCCAAGUCGCAGCCUACAUAAAACAGCAACUGUCACCCAAAGAGUCAAACACAGACAGCCUAACAACGUUAACAAAAGAAGAAAAUGCCUUAAAGUACAUACCUUUUGUCGUCAAAAAAAUAUAGAAACACAAUGUAUUCAAAAAAAAAUCAAAAUUAUACAGCCAUGUUAUGAAGUC
rnacentral:lncRNA from 1 species